GGGCACAGGCUCAGACUUCCCGUUCCCACGGAAAGGAAAACCGUUUUUCCUCCAGAAGAGGACGAUGUCGACGACGAACAUCAGCGACGCCAAGAACCCGAACGCCUGCAAGAGAAGGAGAUUGGAGUCACUGUGGCUGAAGGCAAAGACGGCGGAGGAGACCAAGAACGUCGCCGCGAUGACUCCGGUGUACACAAAGUCCUGCAGGAGAAGAAGCCUUUGUUUACCGAGUAAACACACUGUUAGCUUAGCAUAAAGACAGGAGACCGCUAGCCCGGCUUAACCUCUGAUUAAAUAAAACAUUUUACGGUCCUUAAAUCAAAUAUGAAAUAGUCACAAAAAC